UAAGCGUGUAGGUAUGUGUUCCAGGUAAAUCCGGUUCACUUUAACACUGAGGCGUGACGACGAGGCACUACGGUGCUGAAGCAACAAAUGCCCUGCUUCCAGGAAAAGCCUCUAAGCAUCAGGUAACAUCAAAUCGUACCCCAAACCGACACAGGUGGUCAGGUAGAGAAUACCAAGGCGCUUGAGAGAACUCGGGUGAAGGAACUAGGCAAAAUGGUGCCGUAACUUCGGGAGAAGGCACGCUGACACGUAGGUGAAGUGAUUUACUCACGGAGCUGAAGUCAGCCGAAGAUACCAGCUGGCUGCAACUGUUUAUUAAAAACACAGCACUGUGCAAACACGAAAGUGGACGUAUACGGUGUGACGCCUGCCCGGUGCCGGAAGGUUAAUUGAUGGGGUCAGCGCAAGCGAAGCUCCUGAUCGAAGCCCCGGUAAACGGCGGCCGUAACUAUAACGGUCCUAAGGUAGCGAAAUUCCUUGUCGGGUAAGUUCCGACCUGCACGAAUGGCGUAAUGAUGGCCAGGCUGUCUCCACCCGAGACUCAGUGAAAUUGAACUCGCUGUGAAGAUGCAGUGUACCCGCGGCAAGACGGAAAGACCCCGUGAACCUUUACUAUAGCUUGACACUGAACAUUGAGCCUUGAUGUGUAGGAUAGGUGGGAGGCUUUGAAGUGUGGACGCCAGUCUGCAUGGAGCCGACCUUGAAAUACCACCCUUUAAUGUUUGAUGUUCUAACGUGGACCCGUGAUCCGGGUUGCGGACAGUGUCUGGUGGGUAGUUUGACUGGGGCGGUCUCCUCCUAAAGAGUAACGGAGGAGCACGAAGGUUGGCUAAUCCUGGUCGGACAUCAGGAGGUUAGUGCAAUGGCAUAAGCCAGCUUGACUGCGAGCGUGACGGCGCGAGCAGGUGCGAAAGCAGGUCAUAGUGAUCCGGUGGUUCUGAAUGGAAGGGCCAUCGCUCAACGGAUAAAAGGUACUCCGGGGAUAACAGGCUGAUACCGCCCAAGAGUUCAUAUCGACGGCGGUGUUUGGCACCUCGAUGUCGGCUCAUCACAUCCUGGGGCUGAAGUAGGUCCCAAGGGUAUGGCUGUUCGCCAUUUAAAGUGGUACGCGAGCUGGGUUUAGAACGUCGUGAGACAGUUCGGUCCCUAUCUGCCGUGGGCGCUGGAGAACUGAGGGGGGCUGCUCCUAGUACGAGAGGACCGGAGUGGACGCAUCACUGGUGUUCGGGUUGUCAUGCCAAUGGCACUGCCCGGUAGCUAAAUGCGGAAGAGAUAAGUGCUGAAAGCAUCUAAGCACGAAACUUGCCCCGAGAUGAGUUCUCCCUGAGACUUUAGGUCUCCUGAAGGAACGUUGAAGACGACGACGUUGAUAGGCCGGGUGUGUAAGCGCAGCGAUGCGUUGAGCUAACCGGUACUAAUGAACCGUGAGGCUUAACCUU
rnacentral:rRNA from 1 species